rnacentral:rRNA from 1 species
GAUGAACGCUGGCGGCGUGCCUAAUACAUGCAAGUCGAGCGCACGGACGAGAAGCUUGCUUUUCUGAUGUUAGCGGCGGACGGGUGAGUAACACGUGGAUCACCUACCUAUAAGACUGGGAUAACUUCGGGAAACCGGAGCUAAUACCGGAUAAUAUUUUGAACCGCAUUUUUCAAAAGUAAAAGACGGUCUUGCUGUCACUUAUAGUUGGAUCCGCUCUGCAUUAGCUAGUUGGUAAGGUAACGGCUUACCAAGGCAACGAUGCAUAGCCGACCUGAGAGGGGGGUCGGCCACACUGGAAUUGAGACACGGCCCAGACUCCAACGGGAGGCAGCAGUAGGGAAUGUUCCGCAAUGGGAGAAAGCCUGACGGAGCAACGCCGCGUGAGUGAUGAAGGUCUUGGGAUCGGAAAACUCUGUUAUUAGGGAAGAACAGAUGUGUAAGUAAAUGUGAACAUCUUGACGGUACCUAAUCAGAAAGCCACGGCUAACUACGUG